rnacentral:lncRNA from 1 species
UUCAGUUCAGUCUAAUCGAAUCAGCCGUGUAGAUAAGACGUUCAUGCUGCUUUGCGAUAACUUCCAAAUCGUGCUCUGGACUGAAGUACGGUAGCCUGUUUUGAAUCCGAAUUUUUCAAAAUGCAUGUUCUUGUUCAGUAAUUGACUAUAGUCUAUUACCGGUGGCGCAUGUACGUAGCAGCAAUCUUGGCCCACGGAAAUUAUAAAUUGUUCCAGUCUUCAAGCUAUCGUUCCACAUGUGAGCCUUUAUUGUAGGUAUCGGAGGACUACGAGCGAUUCAGUUAAUAUUGAUUUCCUGUAAUAAGAUUCUCUUGAACAAAUAAUACAGUGGAAAUUAAUAUUCUGUUCUACCUAAAUCCACAAUUUAUUGAAAAAAAAUUAAAAGAAAAUCGUGAAUAAAAUCUGAAGAAAAAAGAUCUCAGAAUAGGAAAAUACGAAAAUGUAUUUUGUUUCUCUGGCCACAUUACAUCGUCAUGAUUGAUUAAUUUGAAAUAGUCAUUUUAUGAAUGAAUAACUAAUGCUUGAUCUUCCAUGCACUUUGACUCGAGAGCCCUGCUCUUUUACUCAUAUUCUUAUUCAUUAUCCCAACUCAACGCAAUACCGUGUUUUUUGAGAUUCAUACAUCAAGCCGGUUUCCGCUGUUCCUUGUUUGUUUUCGAGACUUGAUUAAAGAUUUAAAGUCAGCUGUCUGAUCUUCCGUGAUAUCUGAAUGGAUUGAGAAAUAAUUACCUUCACCUCUUGUAUCAGUUACUUAUAAGAUACAACCAUCACAGUACGCUCUUCAAAAAUACUAAGAAGAAAAAUGUUUCUGAUACUACAAAAUCAUCAUUUUAAAGAAUGAUCUUCCUUGCACUUGUGGAAGUAAAUGCUUGGAAAGGUAAUCUUCUCCCCGAGUAUUGUGCAAAGAACCUUGAUUCAACAUCUUACUGUCACCUGUCAACUCUAAAACUUUACUCCUUCAAUCUGCUGAUUGUCUACUUUUCUUCAAUAUUAUUCCACACGCUCCAGUCACGUCACAAGAACUUCUGGCUGCUGGUGAGUAGUGAAAUAGAAACUACUCUUUAGCAAUCAUCUCUACAAACUGCUAUCAAUCUUCACGACGUCAUUCUUCAUCUUCGAGAACAUCAGCGAAAAACUUUUUUGUAAUAGGCCUACUUAUAUUAUUAGUUAUAAACUGCCUAACGAGAUGGGUGAAAAUUAUCGACGGUUUUCACUAUAGUAAUGCAAUGAAUGAAAUUAAUUAUAGUUAUAUUUAUUUCAUCACUUGAGAAUGGCUUAAUUGUACUGGUGCCGACUCCAUAUAAGGUCUGAAUCGGCUGGAUCCAAAAAAUAUGGGGGGCGGAGUCAACCUAAAAUUUUGACCAAUUACUGGAAACCGGAAAUAGCAUUUCAACCUAUCUACUAAUACUGUAUCUAUUAAAAGUUAAACGUAUAGUUGAUUGGUUUACUGUUAAUUAUAACACUUUUAGUGUCAUUUGCAAAGUGCCAGUUUGAACGGAAUAUUAAACCACUACCGGCUGAACAAAUUCAGUUGAAGCUUAAUAAUAUUAAUAUCAAACCACCAGCUGAUGAAAAUCAGCUAAAAUCUUUCACUGUGACGACCCUUAAUGUUUUUAUAACAGAAAAAUUACAAUGAGCCGUCUUCACUCAGUUGAAUGGAUACUUCAAGAGAAAAUCCUUAAAACAAAUUUUCUAUGCUCAUUAGAAAGUUUUAAUCCUAUUUUAGUGAAAAUUCAAUUGUUAAUCAGCAUUAAUGACUGUCGAUUCUCUAAAACCAACAACAAUUCAUAUAAUUACAAUACCAAUUUAAAAUUCCGACUACACCCAACUGCCUCUCAAACCAAGUUUUCGUUUAUGGUAAAAUUAAUUUUAAAAUUCUUAAAUUACAAAAUUUUCCGGUGGGAGGACCCGUGGGCUCUCCUUAUUAGACUAUAUCAAAAUAUGUUCCAACCUCUUAUUUUUCUGAUAGCCAUUUUUACUUUGCUCGCCCUACCUACUACCAUAGAUAAGUUCUUUUGAAAAAAAAUCAAGGUACCCCAAUUUCUAGUUUUCUAUACGUUUACAUAAUGUCCCUGAGUCCAAGAACAUGAUUUUUGGGUGUUGUUCUCUGUGUGCGUGCGUGUGUGUGUGUGUCUGUGAACACAAUAACUCAAUUCAUAAUUAACUGAUUGACUUGAAAUUUUCCUUACGUUCCCCAGCGUUUUUCAUGCGUUUCAUCGGAUUUUGAAAGAACUAAUUAAGAGAAAAUGUACCAAUUCAGUACAUAUAGGCUCAGCUAAGGUGUACAAUAUUGUAUAAGGUGUUGUUGCUGAACGACUUGAAAAUUACGCGAAAGACACACCCAAAUUUGGUGCUUUCCAGCGUUAAUCAGCUACGUUUUUUUUCAACUUUACCCAGCUUGUUCGAGAAAAAAUGAACAGAACACUUUUAGAUGGGCAUAUGUUGGAACAAAGGUUCUACAGAGGUUCAGUUAGUCUAGAAAGAUUGUGUAAGAGAGCUUCUGCCAAAGGGUUUUCAGGGAUGAGUGAGCUUAUGUCUAACUCAAUAAAGUUUACACAAUUUCUGUUUGGGUAAUGGCGGUGCUACUUUUGCUUCCUUCUACAGUUUUUCAAUGCAUUCUCCUAGAUUUUUAAAGUAGAGUGUAAUGUAUGUUUUGUAAGUUCGGUACAUAUUCGGUACUUUGUUUCAAAGAAAUGCAAUAAUUAUCACAUCUUAAUCACUUCAAGUAGGAAACUAUAUUCAUAAUCAAAAUGAACAGAUAUUUUUUCAAUCCUGUUGAAAUUGUUUCAAUGGAUAUAGGAAACGUUCAUAUUCGGUACAGAGGCUCAGCUAGCGUCUAAAAACUUUUUAUAGUAGGAGCUUCAUAAGUUCGCUAGCAUUACAUCCAGAAUCGGCGUAUUCCUGCGUGGUCUCAGUCAACUUUGGUGAUUAAUUUAGCCUAAAAGUCUGUAUUUGACGGGAGGAAGCAAGCUCAAAUGAAGAUUUCAGGCGAGCGAAGCGAGUCUCCUGUUCUCAUUUCUGGAUGAUUUCGGGGGUCCAGACGAAUAAGGCGAGCAAAGCGAGCCUACCGGCAAGUGAUGCAUAAAUUUAAUGUAUGUCUAUACAUGCGUUAAUUUGCGUAGAGAAAUAUAAAAUUUGAUAAAUCCAGGAUGAGUAUUUUUUUAAAAUGCGCUUGAAAAACCACGUGGAUUUUUCGUAAAUGAUAAGUAAAUUACAUGUCUAUAGUCUACACACAAAUAGUUUAUGUGGUAUUCACAUAAAUACGAUUGCAAUACCAGGUUAAUAUACAUUACAUUUUAUAAAACCACUUCACUUAUAUGGGCUACUUUAUUGAAAUUAAUAAAAAUAACAGUAUAAAAACAUGAAGUACCCUUUGUAUUUAUUAAGAACAUGGAUGCAUAAAUUAUUUCUCCCAAAAAUUAAACAUUUAAAACAUUUUAAAACUUCAAAACAUUUCAACAACUAGUUUCGGCCUAUUUUGGCCAUUUUCAAGUUUAAAUAUAUUAGUCCGGAACUAGUUAUUGAAAUGUUUUUAAAGUUUUAAAAUGUUUUAAAUAAAAAGGGUACCUACUUCAUGUUUUAUAUUGUUUUUAUUAACAUACAUUUUAUAAGAUUGGGAAAUUUGAUGUUCAUACACACGUAUAAUGUUUGCAGUGUUUACAUCAUCUUCAAAUUAUUUGAUUGGUUGCAGAAUUUUGUUGAUGCAUUCGUUUUGGGUGUUUAGGAGUUUGGUGGAGUAUUCAUAAAGGAAAAGACUGUUUUUUAAUGAUAUUAAUAUUUAUUGACAACUCAUUUAUUGUCAUUGAGCUUAUGAGCGCAUAUUGACUUGUGAUUAUACAGAGAGUGCUUCGAGAGGAUCAGUCAAACAUCUUAGUAUGGUCCUGUCGUACAUUACAUCACAUACUAGUGGAAAAGCUUCAUAUUGGAUAGGCUAUAAUACUGGAAAUGCUCUGUUCAAGAUAACUAUGACGGUAGAUUGUAUAAAUCUUCCACCAAGUCUACAAUACAAUAUUUUUUCAAUAACGAUAAUGAUUUUCAGGAUUUGGAAUGUAAAAUAAAUAAUAAAGUUCUAAUGUUCUAGAUUAUAAUAUAGACAGGAUGGUAGGAACUGAAUAUUAAACUGAGGGAAUUGCUAAAAAAAGUUACCGUGAAUGAAAUAUAAUUUAAUAAGAUAUCUCUAGGAAAUUUGAAAAUAAUAGAAUAGAAUAUUUUAUUUUGCCAAAUACAAGAUACAUAAGACAAAAUGUAAAUUAUAAUAAAUCUUUGGCACAGACAGCAAAGUCAGACUUGUGCGCUAACUCUGAGUUCGUAAAGAUAACAGUACAAAGUAAAAGAAUACUGAAACAUGAAAAAACAACAAAACAAGAUAAAUGAAAAUAAAAAUUAGCAUACUAAUAUAGUAAUUCUAAUAAAUAACAAUGAUAACGAAUAUAAAAGAUAACUAUACAACAUGCAAAGUAGCUUUAACAUUGAAAAUACUAAAUUAACUUAUUAUGAGAAAAUAUAUUUAUUAAAAUUAUUCCUUUCCAAAUCAUAAUAAUAUGAGUUGCGCUUGAAUUAUAAAUGAAUAGAUAUGCAAAAAUAAAAAAAAAAAUUGAUACUAGUUAAUAGCAAAAUAUUUUAUAUAUUUUGUUCGUGAGUGGUAUGAAGGAGGAACAGAGAUUGAAACAAAUAAUAGAGGGAGACAGAGUGAUGAUAGCCAGGUCCUGCAUGCGACACCAGAAUGGGGCAGCAGGGUGGCUGAUGAUUGACAGGUCCCUAUUGUCUAUGGCACUGAGUCACCUUUUUCUGUUUACAUCUCUAGGGUCUUCUAGAAAGAACUGGCUACUUCUGGAUUGUUUAUUGUGUGAAUAAUAGGGAAGAAGCCUCCACUCUUCUGGAUUAAAAACGUUGGGGUAUAUAUAGAGGGAUCGCUCGCCGAGUCAUUUUUCUAAUGUUGAUGAACAAAAAUGUAAUGUUGUUGAAACAAUGGUACUGUUAUGGAAUCAACACAUGUUCGUGAGUGGUAUGAAGGAGGAACAGAGAUGGAAACAAAUAGAGGGAGACAGAGUGAUGAGAGCCAGGUCCUGCAGAGCCGGUAUAGCAUUAUAUCUUGUCCUGAAAUAUCUUGGUAGGGUAGUCAAACCAGUUUUUUUUACUACUAUGUCACAGAGUCCAAGUCUCAACGUCUCUACGUCACUGAAAUAUUCUAAAUAACUUCAAUUUGAUUAGUAUAAGUAUUCUAAACCUAUUACCUCUGAUUUAAUAUUUCUAUUAGAGUGUGAAUUUUGUUGCUCACCACCAGUUAUCAGCAGUUAUCUACAGUAACCGGUAGCCAUCAUGACAUUUUGUUGGUGUCACUUCUCUCUGCUCAUCUCUAAUCUGCUCAUACACAAGUACAAUCAUUUGCAAUGCUGCUCAACGUCCCAGUUCCAUAAAAUCCAUUUCUCAGGAAAUGUCAAGUCGGCCUCGCAUAUUGUUGGGUUUGAGGGCUUGUGCGUGUGUGGGUAGCCGCUGAACAAUAAACUGUCAAUGUAGUGGUGGGGACAUAAUAUUUCAGUGACGUAGAGACGUUGAGACUUGGACUCUGUGACAUAGUAGUAAAAAAAACUGGUUUGACUACCCUACCAAGAUAUUGUAGGGUAUUAGGGUAUUAGUAGUAUGGAAAGAUACCUAGGAGUCAAACCAGUUUUUUUUACUACUAUGUCACAGAGUCCAAGUCUCAACGUCUCUACGUCACUGAAAUAUUAUGUCCCCACCACUACAUUGACAGUUUAUUGUUCAGCGGCUACCCACACACGCACAAGCCCUCAAACCCAACAAUAUGCGAGGCCGACUUGACAUUUCCUGAGAAAUGGAUUUUAUGGAACUGGGACGUUGAGCAGCAUUGCAAAUGAUUGUACUUGUGUAUGAGCAGAUUAGAGAUGAGCAGAGAGAAGUGACACCAACAAAAUGUCAUGAUGGCUACCGGUUACUGUUGAUAACUGCUGAUAACUGCUGAUAACUGCUGGUGGUGAGCAACAAAAUUCACACUCUAAUAGAAAUAUUAAAUCAGAGGUAAUAGGUUUAGAAUACUUAUACUAAUCAAAUUGAAGUUAUUUAACAAUAGAGAACAGAAUAAUAAAGGCUACAGUUAAAAUGCACUAGGCCUAUGUAGCUUUUGCUGUUGAUUUGAGUUGCAAGAAUGAACUGAAGUAGCUUACUAAGUGGAACAACCUGAACACUGAACACUGAUGUUCUCAUAGUUAUACCUACCCUACCUAACGUACCCCAGCUAACCUACCCUACCUAACCUGCCUUACAGUUCAAAUUCCACAGAUAGAUGCCUGAUUGGAGGUAGUUGUAGGGAUUGCUCUUCUUUUACAUCAUAAUGAUAAAUUUACAGAAAAGAAAGAAAAUUUACCUUUGAACGUAAAUGAAGAUGCAUAUUAUAAGAUGCACUUUCAUCCUCAAUUUUUAUCUGGAGCUCAUGGUCAUUGUCAAGACAUUGUAUUGCUUCUAAAGACACAUGGAAUAUUUUUCUUAACUUAUACUCAUCACAUCGUUUGCAUGUAUCCUUGUUUGGGGCAUGAAAGCAUAAAUUGUAUAAUGAGUUGAAAAUAAGUCCGUGAUAUCUCAAACUUGAGUAUCCAACUGGAAAUUCAUGGCCAGAAAGGCUGUUAGUUGUUUGCUUCCAAAUGGAAUCUCAAAAACGAAAUGGCUAUUUGCUGUGUGAUUCCACAUGGAAUCUCAUGGCAGUCAAUUCAUCUCUCUACAUUA